CGUUGACGUCAUCAUCACUGCGACGGACUUUCUUGUGUUUGGACAUCUACGCGAUAGAGGUUUUAUUUUUAAAACUGUAUGCGCAGUUUGGGAAGAAAUGUGACAUUUCAUAGGGCUUUUAAACUGCUUGACCAUGCUUUGAGACGUUUAAACAUGGUUACAAAGGCUCACACUUAAGACUUAGAUGACAGGCAGGCAACAAGACACUUUAAAUUUAAAGGAUUUUAACACAUGCUUUAGGAGAGAGAGGAGACAACUCAAUCAGAUUUUGCCAUCUACAGCUCCCCACUCUGCUCCUAGACAUUAAACCUGGCUGAAGAAAACAAACACGGCAACAACCAAAGUGCACAGCCACCUGAAAUAAAGCUUUCUGUGUGACCCAGAUGUGAAUUGUUUAGUUUGUAUGUUUUCAUAUCUGAACAUUUACACUUGGUUUUUCCUUAAAAUAAACGUAACUAAUGAUUGAAA